rnacentral:tRNA from 1 species
AGGUCGGCUCGCCUAUUGGUGUGGGCAACGGUCUGUAAAACCGCCGCGAUUGCGUUGCUGGUUCAAUUCCAGCCCGACCUACCA